rnacentral:rRNA from 1 species
UGGGGGAUAUUGCACAAUGGGCGAAAGCCUGAUGCAGCGACGCCGCGUGGGGGAUGAAGGCUUUCGGGUUGUAAACCUCUUUCGCUAUCGAACAAGGCCCGCUUAGGGUGGGUUGAGGGUAGGUGGAGAAGAAGCGCCGGCUAACUACGUGCCAGCAGCCGCGGUAAUACGUAGGGCGCGAGCGUUGUCCGGAAUUAUUGGGCGUAAAGGGCUUGUAGGCGGCUUGUUGCGCCUGCUGUGAAAACGCGGGGCUUAACUUCGUGCGUGCAGUGGGUACGGGCAGGCUUGAGUGUGGUAGGGGUGACUGGAAUUCCAGGUGUAGCGGUGGAAUGCGCAGAUAUCUGGAGGAACACCGAUGGCGAAGGCAGGUCACUGGGCCAUUACUGACGCUGAGGAGCGAAAGCAUGGGUAGCGAACAGG